rnacentral:rRNA from 1 species
GAUGAACGCUGGCGGCGUGCCUAAUACAUGCAAGUCGAGCGAACAGACGAGGAGCUUGCUCCUCUGACGUUAGCGGCGGACGGGUGAGUAACACGUGGAUAACCUACCUAUAAGACUGGGAUAACUUCGGGAAACCGGAGCUAAUACCGGAUAAUAUAUUGAACCGCAUGGUUCAAUAGUGAAAGACGGUUUUGCUGUCACUUAUAGAUGGAUCCGCGCCGCAUUAGCUAGUUGGUAAGGUAACGGCUUACCAAGGCAACGAUGCGUAGCCGACCUGAGAGGGUGAUAGGCCACACUGGAACUGGGACACGGUCCAGACUCCUACGGGAGGCAGCAGUAGGGAAUCUUCCGCAAUGGGCGAAAGCCUGACGGAGCAACGCCGCGUGAGUGAUGAAGGUCUUCGGAUCGUAAAACUCUGUUAUUAGGGAAGAACAAAUGUGUAAGUAACUAUGCACGUCUUGACGGUACCUAAUCAGAAAGCCCCGGCUAACUACGUG